rnacentral:lncRNA from 1 species
CAAAAAUUCAAAUCACCAUUGCAAAAUAAUGAUACAAAUUAACUUUUCUGAAACGAUUGUGAUAUAAAUGAGCAAACAAUUUAUAGGUGAUGGCAUAAAUGAGCCAUUUUUAAUAGUUUAAUGAUAUUUUUUUAGCCUUUUCCCCUAAAUUUUAUGAUUUUAAACUAAACUAGAGAUGAGUUGAAUGUACCAAUAUUUAAUUUUGUGAUCUUAAAUUUAAAGUGAAAAAUUAAAAAUUAUUUUUAAAAAAAUUAAUCUAAAUAGCAACAAGCUUGCUUAAUAAACAGUAAAUAGAAUAAGCUAUUUGUGUAAACGAAAAGCACAAAUGAAUUGAGAUUGAGGAGGGAUUAUUUAUUUUUGUCAUGACCCGAAUCGGGGCCCUAGCCGUGACGGGGAUCCUGAACCAUGAAGGUUCGAAAGCCCUUCUAACUUGCAACCAUAUGCACCAUUCAUUUACAAAGACGAACUGCGGAAAUACAAAACAAAACGGAAUCAUGGUCGAUAUCAUAAUUCAAUUGAACAAUAUGGGAUGGAAAAUAUAAACCUCUAAACAACGUCUAACAUCAGUCUGCAAAGUCUCUAACUGAAAAUGACAUUUGUCUGAAAUCUGAGAUAAGCCCCCAGUCGGGCCAUGAAUCAAAAUGAAAUAACAAUAACAAGUUCUAAUACAGGACUUCCGAAGUAAGGGAGGCUCACCAAUUGCAACUUCCGACGCACUCAAACCUAUUACUGAACUGGACCCCGAGACUGUCCCUCAGAUCCUAAGAUGGAGGGGGGGGGGUCAAUACAGAUAUACUGGUACGUAGAGCAAUCCAAAAUAAUGUACUUCUAUAUACAACAUAGGUGAGAGCAUUUCAUAAAAAUGAUAAGCAAGAAAUAAUUUAAAACACAUGGGCAACUUAAAAUAACCAUUCAAUGCAAAUCUGUAGAUGUAAAACCAUUCUUUAUUUUUUUUUACUUCUGAGAUAAGUGGUACACCCUACAUAUUUGAAAGUUUCCCACGGGCAAUAUGGGAUCCGUCAUUAACUCGACGGCCAAGCCCCCAACCUAAGUUUGCCGCAAGGGAUGAAGUAUCUGAAUCUGAUACGCCCCAGGGCACUAGGCCAACGUAUAAUAAUAUACCCGUAUCGGCAAAAUAUGGUUUCAGAAAAUGAAUCAUAUGACUCGUGCCUUCUUCGGGUAACCACCUAACUCUCUUAGUGCCCAGUUUUUAACCCAUUCUAAACAUGCAUCUUUUUGAAUUCAAAAUCUAAAAUCUAAAAUGAAAUUUGUAUCCUGUUCUGAGUUUUAUCAUGACUUUAUCUGAUUUGGUAUCGUCAUAUCAAGACUUGCAAGUCAUAAUUCUGAGCCAUAAAAUAUCCUUUACAGUUUUCUCUUUCAAAAUACAAAGGUUAGACCACCAUACUUCAAACAAUUCCGAAAGAUUCAUUCUUCCAAAACAUUUAUCAAAUUACGCAAAGAUCAUUCUUUUCAAUCAUUUCAACAAACAUGUGGUGGUCAUGAGUUUCAACAACCCAUGAAAUUUCUUUCAUAUAUAUAUAUAUAUAUAUAUAUAUAUUCAGCACUUAUCAACAUGUAAAACCCUCUCUCUUCAAUUCAAAAAGCAUAAUCAAGUCAUAAACAAAGUCAAGGCUUUUAUAUUAAAUUAUAUUUCCAGUAUCACAUUUCGAACACAUCAUAUCUUACGAAGUUAAGAGACUUGUAAAUAAGAGAGGGAUUUCAAAUAGUUCAUGCUCUCAAUUCAUAAUUCAAACUCAUCAAACUCAUACAUAUAUCUACUUAAACAUGGUUAUAAAUCAGAUUUGGAGGAAAGGCCUCAAGACCAAAUUAAUAUCAUCAAAAUCUUUAAAAAGCAUGAAUCUAAUUAUAAAUUCAAAAUCCCUUUUUUGUAAAUUCAUAAUUUCUAAACCUUUAACAUGAUUAAUAAGAAUUUACCAUGCCCAUGUAGAUUUAGAAAAAUCCCACGUACCUUAUAUUACAAGGUUUGAAGAGUAGAACUCGAAUCUUGAUUUGUUCUUUGAAAAUCUUGAACUUACGAGAUUGAUUCUUGAUCUUGAAAGAAAGCUUAGUUUCCAUUUUACUCUUGAGAGAGGAGAGGAGUUGAGAGAUAAAAACUGAUAAAAGAAAUGGAUUAUAGAGUGUUUUGGAUGAUUUAAAUCGUGUGGAAGAAUUUUGGGAUAAAAAUACCAAAAUACCCCUAAGGAAAUAAAAAAUGCCGCAGCAGUCCCUCGGUUUGACAGACUGACAUGCUGAAGUAAAUUAGGUAUAACCUUUUACUCCGAUGUUGGAUUUCGACGAAAUAAAUUGCGUUGGAAAUAGGACUCAAAGACCUUUCAUUUGAUAUAUAUAAGGCCACCCAGUUCAUUAUAUAACAGAAGUUAUGCUCAACGAAAGUUGACCCAAGUUAAAGUGUCCACUAAAACGUACUCGAUGGAAUUGUUUUCAACUCGUCUUUGAGUUAGGGGAUUUUUGUGAGCUCAAUUCGUAUCCAAAGGUAUUCCCACACUGUAGGAUUUAUCACCACACAUAUAUUAACAAAGAAUCAUCUAGUUCGGAUCAAUACGCAUAGGAACGACGCUUUGAUUUCUAACCCGAAAAAAAUGCGGGGUGUUACAUUAUCUCCCCCUUGGGAUCAUUCGUCCCCGAAUGAUGGGUAGGGAACUUUUGAAGAUAUAAGAGUGUAGAAUUAAGAUCACAGUCUCACAUUGAACAUUUUUCCUUGAUAAAAUAUGCAAAGGAAUCAAACAAGCUUCAUGAUAACCCCUAGCGAAACGUGAAAGCACGAAACAUGAGACAAUGAGACUUUACAUAGGGAUGAUCUUGCACAUGAGUUCUAUGAAUCAUCAUCAGCACCACACAUGGUGGGGGUUUAUUUGAUGAUCAUAGACCAUGAUUAAGAUUGGUACAAUACAUGAGAUAAUAUUCUCGUGGGGCAUAAGAAUAUGAACAUUCUCCAUCUUACAAGAUACAAUGAAAAUACUUAAACUUGUAGACACUAUUUGUCUACGCCCUAAUCAAUAAAUUACAUACUUCACACUUUUCAACUUACAAAUCCCCAACCACACUUCUAGCCACAAGUAUUUGAGUCCCACUACUUAGUACUGCUAUAUUGAAGCCUAACUCGGAGUUAAAAGGUGCUAACUUAAGCUAUAGGACCUUGUACUUUACAUCCCAUUAAGAACGUUACCGUACCUUAUCACCAUCGUCAAACACCCUCGGGUUUUAAUUUAAGGAAUACUAACCGCAUAGUACAUGGGUUGAGUUUUCAUCAAUCUCAACAUUCAAGCCUAUCAUUGCUACACCCACUUCAUGGAUUUACCCCACUAAGAUUAGCAAAUUCAAUCACAUUCACAAAAAUUUUUGCCAUAUAUCUCCUUCCUGACUUUUUCCAUAUAACAAAAGUUCAUCUCCUUCUUUUCCCCUUUCACCUAUAGCCUUAUCUCGAGAAUUCACACCAUUUUUUUAAAAAAUAUCUACUCCUCUACAUAACACAUCACCACGCUUCCACAACCACCAUCAUACUACCAUACGGAGGGUCAUUGAGGGACCCGAGCAUAAACGUCAUGAAUGGAAGUAACACUAAUCAAUUCAUAGCUUAUACUUAUAAUACUACUCAAGGAGGGACAUGAAGUGAAGAUAUAAUAGAAGAGAGACAGGGUGCUUCAGAUAUCAGGUGUCUGGAUCGUAAGCAUAGAGUCGUUCGACACAACCACAACACAACAUGAUUUCUUAGGACAGACUACGGUGAGAAACAUGGGUGCACAAAUCUCAUGAUUUGUAUAACAUAAGGGUCGAAUUAAUUCAAUGAUUGAGACAAAGGUGAAUACUUAAAGCUAUUGCUUCUCAUUUUCAGAUCUGAAAUAGUAAUAAGUUCGCACAACUUUACCGCUUUGGGUAAUUCAAACAUAAAAUGAUUCAGUGAUAUACAGGAACAUAUUUCCUUAUGAUGACCAAGCACGUUGUGAGACAUAGGUUUGGAUCAUGAGCAACAUAACAUAUGGCUUGGAUACGUAUUGGGUCACUGAGGAAUAUUAUUGCUUCUUGUUUGGACGUUGGGUUAAGGCAUGACAUACAUAGAGAACUCAAACCUUAGACAUCGGCAGGACUUGAAUUCAUAAGACCUUGGUAGAAUGAACUCUUAAACUGAAGUAGGAGGAAUAUUCUUGAAUAGGAGUAGGUUCAUCAUGACUCUUCAUUAACUUGCCACAAUGAGAAAAUUUGGAAAACUACCUUCACUCACCAUCUCCCCCUUAGAUCAAAGCCACAACUAUCAACAUAAAAGAGACAUCACCAUAUACUUAAACUCUAACUCUCCCUAAUGAUCUAUACCCCGAAGGCCUUGGUUUUCGGUAAAUGUUACUCUUAACUUUUGCUAUAGCCAUCACUCUACAACCUCCACUCCCAUGAGUGUAUGCAUUCACACGCCCUAUCACCAAAGGAUAUCGACAUAUACAUGAAUACAACUCUUCUCAUUCAUUUUUUUUAAUAUAAAAACACUAAAUUCUCUCUAGGACAUUUCCCCCUCAGGGAUACUAAUCAUGACUUCUUAUAACUCCAAAAUCAUAACUCAUGACUAACAUCAUUAGAGGCAUGGGCGUCUAUGCUUCGAAUCGCUCAACACCUCUUCUUCAACUCCUUAGAAUACUAGCAUUACACCUCUAAUCACAUAACUUACAAAUUAACAAACUUUGUAAAACUAUACCAAAGGCGCAUAUUGCCCACUCAUAUUUUCUCAAUUCAACUCUAAAUAACACUAUACCAUAACUCCCCAAACUUCUCCAUACCACAAUUUUCAAGAAUACAAACUAGGUACGCAAAACACUUAGACACAUAAAUGCUACACUUUCCCUUUUUAAGUAUACUUUGAGGGCAUUGCUUUCGACCAUCCUCUAUCAUCAUCAACUCACAACUCGCAGUACCAAGAGCAUAUACAACCUCACUCCUUAUCACAUAAAAAUCCACUCUCUAAUAUUAGACCGUUAAUCGUAUAACUUAUAUCAUAAAAUCUUACCUAAUGAGUGAUGCCAUACUACUGGGGGGUGCAACUUAUGCUUAUUUACUUACGCCCUUAUCCACUUAAUGGAUCACCUAAAAAUCAUCAUUUUAACACUAGUCCUCAUAUAUACAUAUAACUCAUAAUUAUCACUUAAACUUUUUAUCAAGUAUUAACCUGGGCUCUUUCACAAAUCAUAUCAAGCCUACUAAUUCAUUCCCAUAAAACACACAUCAUUAAUCAUAAGAUACUAUUAUUACCAUCAUAUUCUACAUCUACAAUUCAAGCCUAUAAUCUAGCAUCAAACAUCUACCACAAAUAAAGUAAAGCACACAACAUUAUAUACUAGUCCAUCAAAUUGAGAAAUCAACUCCAAAUGCUCAUUUCAUUUAACUACUACCUACAAUCACAAUCCCCUCCAUGACACCACUAUAUUAGCUUAAGAUCCACUUCAUACCUUUUCACAUGAAGUACUGGUUUGCAACCACUAGAGAAAAGAGGGUCAAGGGGGUAAAGUCAUAUAAUAGACAUGGUCAACCUUAAUCUUAUAUAAUAACCCACCUUACAUACAAUUCUCACUAGGAAGAUAUAGAAUAAGACAUCGAGAAAUACUAGCCCACUAGAAUCUCAUAACAACAAUAAUCUAUCAUAAUCAUAUGGCCUAUCUUAUUUACAAUCCAUUAACACAUCCUCCUUCUACACAUUAUUACUAUUUACCUAUCUAUACACCUAAACUUCUUUCAUAGCACUAUAAGUUUCAACUAAACUCCCUCUUGCAAUCUCAAGGAAGCCUAAAUUAAUAACAUUCAUCCACUAAGUACUUUCACCAAUAACCUAUACUUUUCUAGCGCAACAAACACUAUCAACAACUCUUUUCAUACUUCAAGCAAAAAAAUAAUUUACCUUAACCAAUAAUUCCUUCUCUACCUUCUACUAACCUAACACACAAGGAUAUAUCACUUCAUUACUAACUCAAUCAUAUGCAAAAAGAUUCAGCUAUAUAUAUUUAAUAAAUCACCCUUACCGCUUUUCUUGUCACUACACCUCUAAACCCGUAGUUUCCAACCAAUACAAGAACAACAAGAUGAACAACAAGUUGCUAGUGAAUCAAAAUAGGCCUCACACGGCUUCACUAGACUUUGAUUUUGUGCUUUGAACAGAAAAAUAAGAUGAAUAACAAAGCAACUAUGCUAGUGAAUCAAAAGAGCCCCACACGGCUUCACUAGACUUUUAGUUUCAACAACACAAUGAUAACAAGAUUACAAGAGAUAGAAACUUAACACACAAUAUUCAAUAACUUAAGAAUACACAUCUUACUCUGUCUUAACUGAAUGCCUCAUAAGAAUGAGGACAUAACUUUAAACUUGAGGGACUUAUGACACACUAGGAAGCUUCUCUCAAGCCCUUUGUGUGACUUCUGAAGUUUCUGCUAGUAAAUCUGAGAGCAUUAUCUGGGAACACCAGAGUAAGGAAAGAAUUAGGAUAACUUUUCUUUCGUUUGGGCGACACCAUGGCACGAAUUAGAGUAUGAAAGAGGAACAUUCUGACUCCAUAACACGAACUAGAACAUGAAGAAAGAGAAACAUUCCUAAAUGCCUUAUAGCCUCCUGCUUAUCAGUAUGGCGCGCUACACAACCAUAAACAAGACUCUACCCGACGCGAUUUUGCAAAUACCUUAGAACCAUGAACCGUGCUAUGAUACCAAGUUUUUCACGACCCGAAUCGGGGCCCUGGCCAUGACGGGGAUCCCGAACCAUGAAGGCCCGAGGGUCUUUCUAACUUGCAAUCAUGUACACCAUUCAUUUACAAAGAGGAACUGCGAAAACACGGUUUUGAGCAAUGAAUCAUACGACUUGUGCCUUCUUCGGAUAACCACCUAACUCUCUUAGUGCCCAGUUUUUAACUCAUUCUAAACAUACGUCUUUUUGAAUUCAAAAUCUAAAAUCUAAAAUGAAAUCUGUAUCCUGUUCUGAGUUUUAUCAUGACUUUAUCUGAUUUGGUAUCGUCAUAGUUAUAAUUCUAAGCCAUAAAAUAUACCUUACAGUUUUCUCUUUCAAAAUACAAAGAUUAGACCACCAUACUUCAAACAAUUCUGAAAGAUUCAUUCUUCCAAAACAUUUAUCAAAUUAUGCAAAGGUCAUUAUUUUCAAUCAUUUAGACAAACAUGUGGUGGUCAUGAGUUUCAACAACCCAUGAAAUUUGAAAGUUUCCCACGGGCAAUAUGGGAUCCGUCAUUAACUCGAUAGCCAAGCCCCCAACCCAAGUUUGUCGCAAGUGUUGAAGUAUCUGAAUCUGAUACGCCUUAGGGCACUAGGCCAGCAUAUAAUAAUAUACCCGUAUCGGCAAAAUAUGGUUUCGGGCAAUGAAUCAUAUGACUCGUGCCUUCUUCGGGUAACCACCUAACUCUCUUAGUGCCCAGUUUUUAACCCAUUCUAAACAUGCAUCUUUUUUAAUUCAAAAUCUGAAAUCUAAAAUGAAAUAUGUAUCCUGUUUUGAGUUUUAUCAUGACUUUAUUUGAUUUGGUAUCGUCAUACCAAGACUUGCAAGUCAUAAUUCUGAGCCAUAAAAUAUCCUUUACAGUUUUCUCUUUCAAAAGACAAAGGUUAGACCACCAUACUUCAAACAAUUCCAAAAGAUUCAUUCUUCCAAAACAUUUAUCAAAUUAUGCAAAGGUCAUUCUUUUCAAUCAUUUCAACAAACAUAUGGUGGUCAUGAGUUUCAACAACCCAUGAAAUUUCUUUCAUAUAUAUAUAUAUAUAUAUAUCAAAAAUCAUAAUCAAGUCAUAAACAAAGUCAAGAUUUUUAUAUUAAAUUAUAUUUUCAGUAUCACAUUUCGAACACAUCAUAUCUUAUGAAGUUAAGAGACUUGUAAAUAAGAGAGGGAUUUCAAAUAGUUCAUGCUCUCAAUUCAUAAUUCAAACUCAUCAAACUCAUACAUAUAUCUACUUAAACAUGGUUAUAAAUCAGAUUUGGAGGAAAAGCCUCAAAACCAAAUUAGUAUCAUCAAAAACUUUAAAAAACAUGAAUCUAAUUAUAAAUCCAAAAUCCCUUUUUUGUAAAUUCAUAAUUUCUAAACCUUUAACAUGAUUAAUAAGAAUUUACCAUGCUCAUGUAGAUUUAGGAAAAUCCCACGUACCUUAGAUUACAAGGUUUGAAGAGUAGAACUCGAAUCUUGAUUUCUUGAAAAUCUUGGACUUACGAGAUUGAUUCUUGAUCUUGAAAGAAAGCUUAGUUUCCAUUUUACUUUUGCGAGAGGAGAGGAAUUGAGAGAUUAAAACUGAUAAAAGAAAUGGAUUAUAGAGUGUUUUGGAUGAUUUAAAUCGCGUGGAAGAAUUUUGGGAUGAAAAAUACCAAAAUACCCCUGAGGAAAUAAAAAAUGCCGCAGCAGUCCCUCGGUUUGACAGACUGACAUGCUGAAGUAAAUUGGGUAUAACUUUUUACUCCGAUGUUGGAUUUCGACGAAAUAAAUUGCUUUGGAAAGAGAACUCAAAUACCUUUCAUUUGAUAUAUAGAAGGCCACCCAGUUCAUUAUAUAACAGAA